GUCUACGGCCAUACCACCCUGAAUGCGCCCCAUCUCUUCUGAUCUCGGAAGCUAACCAAGGUCAGACCUGGUUAGUGCUUGGAUGGGAGAUCCCCUAUUACUUUUUCUGUAGGUU
ensembl:rRNA 5S_rRNA 5S ribosomal RNA